rnacentral:lncRNA from 1 species
AUGACCACAUCAAGUGUCGGGACCCUGAGAUGUGUGCUGCCUGGUGGCUCAUGGAAGCUUGGUAGGAGAUAUGGCCCACGCUAUGUGAGGGAGAAAUGCCAGAAUUACCACAGCAGAUGUCAGGAGGAGGAAUCGAAACCUCUGAGGAGCGGGCAUGCUGGUGAGGAUAUUCCGUGGAAGCAGGAAAACCUACCAACUGACUGUGGUCCACAGAAGGGCCCUGACAGCUGCCAUUCACCAAAGCAGUGAGAGAUGGUACCAGCGUCAGGGAGGGUUCAGCGGUGAGUGGCCUCUGUAGACCAGGCAUGGCCUCAGGAGACAUCAUUAUAGAACUGGGCUCUCUGGUAGCAAUCAGGGUGCUAGGAGGGAACAGAGACCAGAGGUGGUGCUUGGCUGUCAGAAGCAAGGUGGGCACAGUGAUUGUGAUGAGCAGUAAGGUCAGAGUGGUGGCAGGGGGGCCUGACCUGCAGACUAAUGUGCAUGGCUAGUAGAAUGUGAUGUUCUUAGUGUAGAAUGAGCACCUGUGUCAAUUUAUCCAGGGUGUGGAAGUUUCAAUGCUAAAACCAAGAAAGUCCUGAGCAAACUGGGCUGAGCUGGUCACCCUAUUCUUGGGAAUGCUAACAAGGGUAUUGUUUGAUCUACAAAAUAAAAAAAAAAAUCAAAGAUGGAUAAUCAGGAGACUAAAAGUAGUCUUCAGCUAAAAAAAAGAAGAAGAGUGAAAACAUGAAAACAUGACCCUUUGCCCAGUCUCUGGAUCUGAGCCAGUCCACUGACUGCAGGAGAGGGAGGUCCUCAUGAGGAAGGACCCCACCUCACCAUGGGAACUGUGUCCAGUGAUGACUGCCUGUCCUUUUAGGACUUGUUUACUGAGAAAUGGCAAAUACCAGCAUUGACCUUGAUAAACAGGGAGUGGGGUCAUCCUGGCCACGGUUAGAGUGGAUGCAGAUGAGGUCAGGUCAUUAAUGCAGUCCUAGCACAGAUCUGAUUCCUGGGGGCCCGCAGCAUCCACAGAGCUACCCCAGGGACAUUUCCCCAGUUCCUGAAAGCAUAACUGUAAUGAACAUACCUGUAUUUGGCAAACCUUCUGCUUUGGUGCCUUGGACUAUGAGUUAUAAGGUAUCCCUGUGGGAAGGGCCAAGUAGAAGCCGCCAAAACUCCUUCACUUCCAUCCACAGCAAAGAAGGAAAGUGAAAAACAAUACUGCAUUUCAGAAGCCCUAAAGAAUGCAGUGGUAGUGGACUUCAUUCUUUUACCUUUUAAUUCACCAAAUGAAGCCUACAAAAAUGAGAUGCACUAUGGAGGAUGAGAAUAGGGUACCACAAUUUGAGUAAGUACUGACCCCAGUUGCAGUGCUGUGGUUUUGCUAGAGAACUGAACACAGUUUCAAGCAGAUGGUGUCUGAUCAUUGAUCUCUAUUAGGAAGGAGCACCAGAGCAAGUCACAUUCUCGUGGGGGUGAAAAGUUGCAUACAUGUAAGGUCUUUCACCAGGCUUAGG